UAGUUUUGUUCCAUGUCGAACUUCUCUAACUUCGAACAAGUUUAUAGAGAAAUAUAUUAACAUCUACAAUAGCAAAUAAAUGCACUAUCAAGACAUUCCAUGGUGGAUAUAAUGAAAGUAGUUUGAUGCUGUAGAUGUUGGUACAUUUUUCUAUAAACUUUGUCAAAUUAGAGAAGUUUGACUUAGAACAAAACUAA
rnacentral:pre_miRNA from 1 species